rnacentral:miRNA from 1 species
AGUGAUUCUGUUGCAUAAUUACA